rnacentral:rRNA from 1 species
GACGAACGCUGGCGGCGUGCCUAAUACAUGCAAGUCGAGCGCAGGAAACUGACGGAAUUCUUCGGAGGGAAGGCAGUGGAAUGAGCGGCGGACGGGUGAGUAACACGUAAGGAACCUGCCUCAAGGAUUGGGAUAACUCCGAGAAAUCGGAGCUAAUACCGGAUAGUUCAACGGACCGCAUGGUCCGCUGAUGAAAGGCGCUCCGGCGUCACCUUGAGAUGGCCUUGCGGUGCAUUAGCUAGUUGGUGGGGUAACGGCCCACCAAGGCGACGAGGCAUAGCCGGCCUGAGAGGGUGAUCGGCCACGCUGGGACUGAGACACGGCCCAGACUCCUACGGGAGGCAGCAGUAGGGAAUCGUCCACAAUGGACGAAAGUCUGAUGGAGCAACGCCGCGUGAGUGAUGAAGGUUUUCGGACCGUAAAACUCUGGUGUAAGGGAAGAACACGUACGAGAGGGAAUGCUCGUACCUUGACGGUACCUUACGAGAAAGCCACGGCUAACUACGUGCCAGCCGCCGCCGUAAUAC